UGGGGAAUUUUGGACAAUGGGCGCAAGCCUGAUCCAGCCAUGCCGCGUGCAGGAUGAAGGCCUUCGGGUUGUAAACUGCUUUUGUACGGAACGAAAAGCCUGGGGCUAAUAUCCCCGGGUCAUGACGGUACCGUAAGAAUAAGCACCGGCUAACUACGUGCCAGCAGCCGCGGUAAUACGUAGGGUGCAAGCGUUAAUCGGAAUUACUGGGCGUAAAGCGUGCGCAGGCGGUUUUGUAAGACAGUGGUGAAAUCCCCGGGCUCAACCUGGGAACUGCAUUCAAAACUGACUGACUAGAGUGUGGUAGAGGGUGGUGGAAUUUCCUGUGUAGCGGUGAAAUGCGUAGAUAUAGGAAGGAACACCAGUGGCGAAGGCGACCACCUGGACUGAUACUGACACUGAGGUGCGAAAGCGUGGGGAGCAAACAGGA
rnacentral:rRNA from 1 species